rnacentral:lncRNA from 13 species
CCUCUCUCCUCAUCCCAAACCCCUGAUGACCUCUAAUCUGUUUUCCAUUUCUAAGCUGUUGCCAUUUCAAAAUGUUAUAUGAAUGGAAGCAUAGGGAAUGCAACCUUUUGGGACUGGCUUCUUUCACUUGGCCUGAUUUCUUGAAGAUUCAUCCAAGUUGUUACAUGCAUCAGUAGGCCUUGCCUUUUAUCACUGAGGAAUCCACCAUGGGAUGGAGGGACUACUGUUUGACCACUCAUGUGCUGAUAGACACCUGCACCAUUUCCACUUGCUGGCUAUUACAAAUCAAGCUGCUAUGAACAUUUGUGUACAAGUUUUUAUGUGAACAUGCCCAUUGCUUGCUUUUUUUUUUUCCUGAGACAGGGUCUUGCUCUGUUGCACUGGAGUGCAGUAGCAUGAUCAUAGUUCACUGCCGCCUUUAACUCCUAGACUCAAGCAAUCAUCCCACCUCAGCCUCCUGAAUAGGGGACUACAGGUGUGUACCACCACACCUAGCUAAUUAAAACUUUUUUUUUGUAGAGACAAGGGUCUCGCUAUGUUGCCUAUGCUGGUCUCGAACUCCAGGACUCAAGGAAUCUUCCUGCCUUGGCCUCCCAAAGUGCUGGGAUUGCAGGUAUGAGCAACUGUGCCCAGCGACUCAGUACUUUCUGAACCCCUUCCAAUGACUGUGGAGCUCUCUCCCUUAUAAAUUCUGCUUACUGAAGAUUAAAGCCAGAAAAACUCUCUUCCAACUUCCCUUCCAUCUGGAGAGCAUAGGUCCCCCAACCAGAUACAGCCAUGCAAGAUUGUGCACAGAAGUAAGCAGUGUGAGGAAGCAGGCACUCCAAAGAAUCCAUCUGAAGACAAGGAUCAGAGCACAGGCCACCAGCUUUUGGGGAUCAGCAAUAAUGGAGAUGUAGCUCAUUCUAGGAAGAAAUUUCCUGUGGUCCCACUUCAUCUAAGAAGGAACAGAAAAAAAAAGAAAUAAAUAACACCAGGUGUCUUUAGCUGCAUGGCCAGUGAUGGCUGAAACUAAUCAUGGGUCAGAUCACCUGAAUAUACAUGGAGAGAAUUACCUACAACCUGCAGGCAUGGUCCAAAGACGGGGUGUGAUACUGGAAAAUGAAUGAACUUUUGAGUCACACAGAAUUGAAUUCAAAUCCCAGGUAUGCAGCUGGAUUAACUUCUGUAAUACUGUUUUAUUGCUUAUAAAAGAAAAAAAAAAAGUUUGGUUGGGUGUGGUGGCUCACACAUGUAGUCCUAGCACUUUAAGAGGCCAAGGGGGACAAAUCACUUGAGCCCAGUAAUUCAAGUGAUUCUCCUGCCUCAACCUCUCGAGCUGGGAUUACAGGCAUGUGCCACCACGUCCAGCUAAUUUUUGUAUUUUUAGUAGAGAUGGGGUUUCACCAUGUUGAUCAGGCUGGUGUCAAACUCCUGACCUUGUGAUCUGUCCACCUCGGCUUCCUAAACUGCUGGGAUUACAGGCAUAAGCCACUGCACCCAGCCCCUUCUAUUUAUUAUACUUAAGGUUGUUUCCAUUUUUCUUGACUAGAUUGUGCAGGGGCACAAUCAUGGCUCACUGCAGCCUCAACCUUCUAGGCUCAAGCUAUUCUCCCACCUCAACCUCCUGAGUAGCUGGGGUUACAGGUGCAUGCCACCAU